GCAUCACUGAGUUUUCUAUUUGCAAGUUGGCCGGAAGCAUUCAACAUGGUGACAUAUCCACAGAGAUGCUUGCCCUGAACUGGUGAAAGAUAUCCCAUCAUUAAGAAGACAGUAAGAGUGGAGUCAGACAGGAAUGCGAUGCGUUUCGUGUGUCCCGUAGACAGACUCAGGCUGCUUACACUGGCUGUGUCAGCUGGAUCUUCUUGACUAUUUGUAUCAGUGUCAGUUGCCGAUGAAGCUUCUUGUACAGGACUCCUACUUUCCCCUCCAUCCCAUGACAAGAGCAUCUUCUGUGGAUCUAAGAUACUGUACAGGACAACCUGCUUUUCAUAUUGUCUCUGUGAAUUUCCAAGACGACUGGGAUUUCCUUCCUCCUCUGCCACCCUGAACAGCAAGACCAAUACUUCCUGUGUUUCCUCCUCUUCAGCCUACUUGUGAAGACAAGGAUGAAGACCUCCAUGAUGAGCCAUCUCUACUUAAUGACUGCCUCACGUUGGCCGGCAACUUGUUCCAGGGGUAGUUGUGCUGGAUGUGGAACUCCACGUCUAUGUUCAUGAUGCCGCGGACAGGGCCGGCGGUGGGGCCGCGACCGCGACCCACACUACACCUCCCGCCUACCCGCCAUAGCCCGUCAACGGAGCCCCGCAGGAGGCCUGGAGCCUCAUGAUGCAGAAUGCCCAGGCUGCCUCUUGGCCUGGGCUCCUGACAGUUGAGUGCGGCCCGGGCCGACCAAGCACUAGAGCAGCAGCGAUGGGAGGCUGGGUCACCUGAGCAGCUCGGAAGGCCCUUUUUAACUUUAGACCUUCUGUUUGAUGAAGAGACACAUAGGUUAUCAACUUAGGCGAGGUUCAAAAGGCCCUUCACUCAUAUGGAAAUGAAAGGUAACCUCCUCCCACAAGGAAAAGGAUUAACUCCCCUGUUGAACCGGGAGACUUAGUCUUACUAAAAACUUAGAAGAAUCCCCCAACAAUCAAUUACAACCAAAAUGGAAAGGGCCCCUAUCAGGCAUUAUUAAGCACCGCCACUGCUGUUAAACUCCAAAGGUAAUUUUUUUUUUUUUUUUUUUUUUUAGAUGAAGUCUUACUCUAUCGCCCAGGCUGGAGUGCAAUGACUAGAUCUCGGCUCACUGCAACCUCCACCUUCUGGGUUCAAGCAAUCCUCCUGCCUCAGCCUCCUGAGUAGCUAGGAUUACAGACAUGUGCCACCAUGCUUGACAAAUUUUUUUUUUUUUUUUUUUUGUAUUUUUAGUAGAGACAAGGUUUCACCACGUUGGCCAGGCUGGUCUCGAACUCCUGACCUUGUGAAAUGCCUGCCUCAGUCUCCCAAAGUGCUGGGAUUACAGGUAUGAGCCACUGCCCAGCCUCAAAGUUUUUUUUUUUUUUUUUUUUUUUGAGACAGAGUCUCACUGUGUCCCCAGGCUGAAGUGCAGUGGCACGAUCUCAACUCACUGCAAGCUCCGCCUCCCAGGUUCACGCCAUUCUCCUGCCUCAGCCUCCUGAGUAGCUGGGACUACAGGCACCCGCCACCACGGCCGGCUAAUUUUUUUGUGUGUAUUUUUAGUAGAGACGGGGUAUCACCGUGUUAGCCAGGAUGGUCUCGAUCUCCUGAUCUCAUGAUCCGCCUGCCUCGGCCUCCCAAAGUAUUAGGAUUACAGGCGUGAGCCACCGCCCCCCGCCCUCAAAGAUUAUGAUUCCUCACAGAUGUCAGAGGAAGAUGCUGUGACCUAUACUUGCAAACUCCCAGAAGACUUAAAGCUAUUGUUUUACAAAUGCACAGAUAACUAUUAAUAACAUGAUGCUGUGGAUGAGCAUUAAAGUUUUUCUCUUACUCCUAA